rnacentral:rRNA from 1 species
UGCUUCGGGCGAGACCNCGGUMCAAGUCCCUUGGAAUAGGGCGUCGCAGAGGGUGAGAAUCCCGUAUGUGACCGGUGGACGAGCCCGUGUGAAGCCCUUUCGACGAGUCGAGUUGUUUGGGAAUGCAGCUCUAAAUGGGUGGUAAAUUUCAUCUAAAGCUAAAUAUCUGCCCGAGACCGAUAGCGCACAAGUAGAGUGAUCGAAAGAUGAAAAGCACUUUGAAAAGAGAGUCAAACAGUACGUGAAAUUGUUGAAAGGGAAGCGCUUGCAACCAGACUCGUUCGCGGGUGCUCAGCCGCUCCUCGGGGCGGUGCACUCUCCCGCGUUUCGGGCCAGCAUCGGUUCUGGCGGCCGGAAAAAGGCUCCGGGAAAGUAGCUCUUUUCGGGGAGUGUUAUAACCCGGAGCGUAAUGCGGCCAGCCGGGACCGAGGAUCGCGCGUUCGCUAGGAUGCUGGCGUAAUGGUUGCCAGCGACCCGUCUUGAAACACGGACCAAGGAGUCGACCAAUCGGGCGAGUUUUAGGGCGUUAACCCCUGAGGCGCAAUGAAAGUGAACGUAGGUGGGAGCCUUUGGCGCACCAUCGACCGAUCUUGAUGUUUUCGGAUGGAUUUGAGUACGAGCCCGGCUGGUCGGACCCGAAAGAUGGUGAACUAUGCGUGAAUAGGGUGAAGCCAGAGGAAACUCUGGUGGAGGCUCGCAGCGGUUCUGACGUGCAAAUCGAUCGUCAAAUUUGCGCAUAGGGGCGAAAGACUAAUCGAACCAUCUAGUAGCUGGUUCCCGUCGAAGUUUCCCUCAGGAUAGCAGCAACGUAAUCAGUCUCAUGAGGUAGAGCAAACGAUUAGAGGUCUUGGG